rnacentral:lncRNA from 1 species
UCACAAUCACAUCACAUCACAAUCACAUCAUAUCAUCACAUCACAUCACAAUCACAUCACAUCAUCACAUCACAACACAAUCACAUCACAUCAUCACAUCACAAUCACAUCAUCACAUCACGUCACAAUCACAUCACAAUCACAUCACCACAUCACAAUCACAUCACAAUUACAUCACAUCAUCACAUCACAUCAUCACAUCACAAUCACAUCACAUCAUCACAAUCACAUCACAAUCACAUCACAUCAUCACAUCACAAUCACAUCAUAUCACAAUCACAUCACAUCAUCACAUCACAAUCACAUCACAUCACCACAAUCACAUCACAAUCACAUCACAUCAUCACAUCACAAUCACA